ensembl:snoRNA
UGAUGUUAUGAUGAUGGGCAAAGUGUUCAACUGCUCUGAGGGGGCUGAAUGAAAAAUAGCCUUUCUGAACAUCU